ACCUGGCUGGCUUGGUUGGUGGAGCGUGUGACUCUUAAUCUCGGAGUUGUGGGUUCGAGCCCCAUUUUAGGUG
rnacentral:tRNA from 1 species